rnacentral:tRNA from 1 species
GCGACUGUAACUCAGUGGUUAGAGCGGCCGGCUUUCACCCGGCUUGUCGGAGGUUCGAAUCCUUCCAGUCGCA